AUGGAUCACUGGAGUGAAAGUGAGGGCAAGAGAGUCCAUGAUCCUAUCUUCCAACCCCGCAUCAGCCAAAACUGCCGCCAGCCUGUUGAAGAAUUCUGCAGGGAGAGGAGCAAAGGUGCUGCUGUUACUCGCUUUGAGCGAUGUACCUGGGUUCCCGGUCCUAUUAUCGUGGGUGCAGGACCAUCAGGGCUUGCCGUUGCUGCAUGUCUCAAGGAGAAGGGUGUCGACAGCCUCAUCCUUGAACGCUCCAACUGCAUAGCUUCUCUGUGGCAACUCAAAACAUAUGAUCGUCUGAGCCUUCAUCUUCCACGGCAGUUCUGUGAGCUUCCUCUCAUGCCUUUCCCUGCUGAUUACCCUAUUUAUCCCUCAAAGGAGAAGUUUGUAGCGUACUUGGAGAAGUAUGCUGCGCGGUUCGGCAUCUGUCCCAGCUACAACCAUGCGGUGGUUUGUGCUGAGUAUGACGAGAAGCUUCUGUUAUGGCGGGUGAGAUCACAACUUACAGGCAAAAUGGAGGAGGAGGUGGAACAUAUAUCUCGGUGGUUGGUUGUGGCGACUGGUGAGAACGCUGAGGUUGUGCAGCCAGAGAUCGACGGACUAAAAGAGUUCAAGGGAACGGUUGUGCACACCAGUGCAUACAAAACUGGCCGUGCAUUUGCAGGGAAGCGUGUUCUUGUUGUUGGGUGUGGCAACUCUGGCAUGGAGGUCUGCCUAGAUCUCUGCGAUCACAAUGCACAGCCCCAUAUUGUAGUAAGAGACACUGUACACAUCUUGCCCAGGGAGAUGCUGGGUCAGUCUACCUUUGGGCUGUCAAUGUGGUUGCUCAAGUGGUUCCCAGUACACGUGGUGGACCGGAUUCUACUGCUCGUAGCACGGACCAUGCUUGGGGAUACUGCUCGGCUUGGGCUAAAGCGGCCUACCGUCGGUCCCCUCGAGCUCAAGUCACUCUCAGGGAAGACCCCAGUUCUUGAUGUUGGCACAUUUGCAAAGAUUAGGUCUGGUGAUAUCAAGGUGUAUCCGGGCAUCAAGAAAAUAUCAGGACAACAGGUAGAAUUUUUGGAUACACGGUCGGAGGACUUUGAUGCAAUUGUGCUUGCCACUGGCUACAAGAGCAACGUCCCCUUCUGGUUGAAGGACCGGGAGUUGUUUUCGGACAAAGAUGGAUUGCCAAGAAAAGCAUUUCCAAACGGAUGGAAGGGUGAGGGGGGGCUCUACUCGGUCGGACUCACCCGGCGUGGCCUGAUGGGAACCUCAGUCGAUGCGAGGAGGAUAGCUCACGACAUCGAGCAGCAGUUGAGUGCUGAAGGGAAGCUCUAG
rnacentral:rRNA from 1 species